UACAUUCUAGUAUAUGUUGUAUAAAAGCUUUUGAUGCUUUAGGUGGUAGUUAAAUUCUAUUGAAUGUAA
rnacentral:tRNA from 1 species